GUGGGGAAUAUUGGACAAUGGGCGCAAGCCUGAUCCAGCCAUGCCGCGUGCAGGAUGAAGGCCUUCGGGUUGUAAACUGCUUUUGUACGGAACGAAAAAGCUCUCUCUAAUACAGGGGGUGAAUGACGGUACCGUAAGAAUAAGCACCGGCUAACUACGUGCCAGCAGCCGCGGUAAUACGUAGGGUGCAAGCGUUAAUCGGAAUUACUGGGCGUAAAGCGUGCGCAGGCGGUUAUGUAAGACAGAGGUGAAAUCCCCGGGCUCAACCUGGGAAUUGCGCUUGUGACUGGAAGGCUGGGGUGCGGCAGAGGGGGAUGGAAUUCCGCGUGUAGCAGUGAAAUGCGUAGAUAUGCGGAGGAACACCGAUGGCGAAGGCAAUCCCCUGGGCCUGCACUGACGCUCAUGCACGAAAGCGUGGGGAGCAAACAGGAUUAGAAACCCUGGUAGUCC
rnacentral:rRNA from 1 species